rnacentral:rRNA from 1 species
UACGGGGGGGGCAAGCGUUGUUCGGAAUUACUGGGCGUAAAGGGUUUGUAGGUGGCUUGUUAAGUCAGACGUGAAAUCCCUCAGCUUAACUGGGGAACUGCGUCUGAUACUGGCGAGCUUGAGUGCAGGAGAGGAACGCGGAAUUCCAGGUGUAGCGGUGAAAUGCGUAGAUAUCUGGAGGAACACCGGUGGCGAAGGCGGCGUUCUGGACUGCAACUGACACUGAGAAACGAAAGCCAGGGGAGCAAACAGG